UCCCUUCCCUCCUUGCCUGCUGCGAGACACAGCCGCGCCGGAGCGCUACCGAUCCUCUCCGCUCUGACCGUUGCCUGCGGCUGCCGAGGGAGGGGACUGUCUGACUCGCGCUGUUUCCAUCCCAGCAGUGAAACACAUGAAGAGAAGASUCCUUGCCCCCUUCUCCUAUUGCCUGUGAAGGAAGGACAUCACCACUGAUGCUGUUCAGCCAGACCGUCAGUUGGCAUCUCAAGACCGGGAGUAAGAGCCAUCCCUGCCACUGAACCAUGUGAAUUCAAGAGCAGAGAAGAAAGUGCACUUGGCAUGUUUGUUGCUAAAAAGACAGUAACCUGACUCCAGCAUUAAGACAGCAAAUCUUUUCUGCACAAAUCCCACUACCUGGGAGGAGAUGUUCCUAGAUAAAUCACCAGCAAGCUCAUGGUSUGAACCAGAUGCUCAAAUGUCUAGUCCCAACACCCCUGCCUGCUCUGAAAGAAAGUAUCUGUCCUGAUACAUCCACAGCCCCAAAAGCACUGAGUGCAUCACUUGUCUGCACAAUGUUGGCAAAUUUAAAAGCCUGCAUUUCCCCUUUAAAAAAGUCUUCAAAGGGGAAAAUAACUUUGCAGACAGCAAAACUCAGCACAGCUUGAGCCCACUAAAGGAACUUUCUUGAUUUUACUUGAAAAAGGGAUAAAAAAUGCUUGAAACUCCAAAAUUAUGUGAAGUCACACAUCCAUGUAACUGUCAACACUGAUGAAGACUUACUUGUAUACUUCAUCCUCACUAGGAAAAUAAAUAUAUCCUUAUCCUGUAAUCA
rnacentral:lncRNA from 1 species